rnacentral:rRNA from 1 species
AUUGAACGCUGGCGGCAUGCCUUACACAUGCAAGUCGAACGGCAGCGCGGGAGCAAUCCUGGCGGCGAGUGGCGAACGGGUGAGUAAUAUAUCGGAACGUGCCCAGUAGUGGGGGAUAGCCCGGCGAAAGCCGGAUUAAUACCGCAUGAGACCUGAGGGUGAAAGCGGGGGAUCGCAAGACCUCGCGCUAUUGGAGCGGCCGAUAUCAGAUUAGCUAGUUGGUGGGGUAAAGGCCUACCAAGGCAACGAUCUGUAGUUGGUCUGAGAGGACGACCAGCCACACUGGGACUGAGACACGGCCCAGACUCCUACGGGAGGCAGCAGUGGGGAAUUUUGGACAAUGGGCGCAAGCCUGAUCCAGCCAUGCCGCGUGCGGG